rnacentral:rRNA from 1 species
CUCGUGUCGUGAGAUGUUGGGUUAAGUCCCGGCAACGAGCGCAACCCUCGUCCUAUGUUGCCAGCGGGUCAUGCCGGGGACUCAUGGGAGACUGCCGGGGUCAACUCGGAGGAAGUGGGGAUGACGUCAAAUCAUCAUGCCCCUUAUGUCUUGGGCUUCACGCAUGCUACAAUGGCCGGUACAAAGGGCUGCGAUACCGCGAGGUGGAGCGAAUCCCAGAAAGCCGGUCUCGGUUCGGAUUGGGGUCUGCAACUCGACCCCAUGAAGUCGGAGUCGCUAGUAAUCGCAGAUCAGCAACGCUGCGGUCGAAUACGUUCCCGGGCCUU